rnacentral:rRNA from 1 species
GAUGAACGCUGGCGGCGUGCCUAAUACAUGCAAGUCGAGCGAACGGACGAGAAGCUUGCUUCUCUGAUGUUAGCGGCGGACGGGUGAGUAACACGUGGAUAACCUACCUAUAAGACUGGGAUAACUUCGGGAAACCGGAGAUAAUACCGGAUAAUAUUUUGAACCGCAUGGUUCAAAAGUGAAAGACGGUCUUGCUGUCACUUAUAGAUGGAUCCGCGCUGCAUUAGCUAGUUGGUAAGGUAACGGCUUACCAAGGCAACGAUGCAUAGCCGACCUGAGAGGGUGAUCGGCCACACUGGAACUGAGACACGGUCCAGACUCCUACGGGAGGCAGCAGUAGGGAAUCUUCCGCAAUGGGCGAAGGCCUGACGGAGCAACGCCGCGUGAGUGAUGAAGGUCUUCGGAUCGUAAAACUCUGUUAUUAGGGAAGAACAUAUGUGUAAGUAACUGUGCACAUCUUGACGGUACCUAAUCAGAAAGCCACGGCUAACUACGUG